GAUGAACGCUGGCGGCGUGCCUAAUACAUGCAAUCGAGCGAAUGGAUUAAGAGCUUGCUCUUAUGAAGUUAGCGGCGGACGGGUGAGUAACACGUGGGUAACCUGCCCAUAAGACUGGGAUAACUCCGGGAAACCGGGGCUAAUACCGGAUAACAUUUUGAACCGCAUGGUUCGAAAUUGAAAGGCGGCUUCGGCUGUCACUUAUGGAUGGACCCGCGUCGCAUUAGCUAGUUGGUGAGGUAACGGCUCACCAAGGCAACGAUGCUUAGCCGACCUGAGAGGGUGAUCGGCCACACUGGGACUGAGACACGGCCCAGACUCCUACGGGAGGCAGCAGUAGGGAAUCUUCCGCAAUGGACGAAAGUCUGACGGAGCAACGCCGCGUGAGUGAUGAAGGCUUUCGGGUCGUAAAACUCUGUUGUUAGGGAAGAACAAGUGCUAGUUGAAUAAGCUGGCACCUUGACGGUACCUAACCAGAAAGCCACGGCUAACUACGUGCCAGCAGCCGCGGUAA
rnacentral:rRNA from 1 species